AAGGGUAGGGGGUUCACAGUUGUAAUGUUCUUGGUGGGGUAGACAGGUAAGUCGGGAAGGGUGUUGGUGAGGGAUGGAGGAUUCCUUGGUCAUGGGAGGCUCCCUUACCUGUUCAUUUCCAGACAUUGUCACCUUUGUGACUCCUUUCCCCUUGUUUCAAGGAAGUAGGAUUUUUGUGAAGGAAGGGUGACCGCCCUGUGAUCGGGGUUCGGGUCGCUUUCCUUUCCCCCUCUUUGCAUUGGCCCUCUUAAUGCCAAAGUCCAAAGUGAGCUCCCUGUAACUAGGGUGUGCGUCUUUCCCAAGCUUACUCGCCCAUUUGAAAGCUAGUUAUAGAAACCAGCCUCUUUGGAGAGUUAGGGGUUUGUCCUUCUAGCUGUCCUGUCGCCAUGCCCUACUCACACGCACAACCAAGUCCAAACCGAGCGAACUCUGCAUCCAGCUGGCCCCGACGACUUCUGCUGCUGCUGCUGCAAGGUUUCCUGCUGUAUGCCACAGCAACUCAAAAGAGAAAACGGAGAAGAAGACAGAAGCCCCAAAGAACCGGCAGGAGAAGACAAUGGAAGCAGAAGCCACAGAAAAGAGACACACACCUUGCACGCGUGGGCCUCCCUGUAAUGAGGACACGGGGUUUCCACUUAAGCUUCAUUCCCCCUUGAGGUGCCAGGUAAAAGGACCUCCCUGUAAACAGGGAUCAAGGUCCACCCCUUCCCAGCAAAAAGGCUUGAGGUGUCCGUUAGGUAGCUAAGGCUGAGGAACCCCCCUUUAAGAAGGGUAGCGGUCUCUCUGUGGCUUUCAGCUCUUUAGGAGCUAGGCUUUAAAAUGCCCCGUGCCAUUGACCUCUCCCUGUAAGAAGGGUUCAGGUCUCCCCUUUUUAGCUUCUCCUGGGCCGCUGGCACUUGCUGGGCAAAGAGACGGCCCUCUCCUGAGGGAAUGGAGGUCUCUCCCUUUCUGCACUUCAGGGUUUGGCCCAGGCUAAAGGACCAUCCUGUAAGGAGGGUUUGGGUCUCCUUUGCCAUGCUGCAUUCGCCACAGGUCACUUGGACAUGCCAGGCAAAAUGACCGCCCUGUAAGCAGGGUGUAAGGUCUGCUCCCUCUCCCUCUUAAGCCAGUGGGCCCUUUCCGUACCUGUGGCUGAGGGACCCCCCUUUAAGAAGGGUAGCGGUCUCUCUGUGGCUUUCAGCUCUUUAGGAGCUAAGCUUUAAAAUGCCCCGUACCAUUGACCUCUCCCUGUCAGAAGGGUUCAGGUGUCCCCUUUUUAGCUUCUCCUGGGCCGCUGGCACUUGCUGGGCAAAGAGACCACCCUCUCCUGAGGGAAUGGAGGUCUCUCCCUUUCUGUACUUCGGGGUUUGGCCCAGGCCAAAGGACCACCCUGUAAGGAGGGUUUGGGUCUCCUUUGCCCUGCUGCUUUCGCUACAGGUCACUUGGACAUGCCAGGCAAAAUGACCGCCCUGUAAGCAGGGUGUAAGGUCUGCUCCCUCUCCCUCUUAAGCCAGUGGGGCCUUUCGGUGCCUGUGGCUGAGGGACCCCCCUUUAAGAAGGGUAGCGGUCUUUGUGUGGCAUUCAGCUCGUUAGCAGCUAGGCUUUAAAAUUCCCUGUGCCGUUGACCUCUCCCUGUCAGAAGGGUUCAGGUGUCCCCUUUUUAGCUUCUCUUGGGCCGCUGGCACUUGCUGGGCAAAGAGACCACCCUCUCCUGAGGGGAUGGAGGUCUCUCCCUUUCUGCACUUCAGGGUUUGGCCCAGGCUAAAGGACCAUCCUGUAAGGAGGGUUUGGGUCUCCUUUGCCAUGCUGCAUUCGCCACAGGUCACUUGGACAUGCCAGGCAAAAUGACCGCCCUAUAAGCAGGGUGUAAGGUCUUCUCUCUCUCCCUCUUAAGUCAGUGGGGCCUUUCCGUGCCUGUGGCUGAGGGAUCCCGCUU